CCGACAUGCCACUAACAUGAGUUUGUGAGCAGGUGGCUCCGGGUUUGCAGCUGAGCUAACAACCAGGCUGUACUCAUGUGGUUCUGGUUUCAUGUCCUCCUCUGCCUUGUGACUGAUGAGACUAAUCAGGUGGAUGUAAACACUUCCCCGGGAUCGGAGCGCUGUGAUGGAUUUGGCACCGGUUCCCAUUCGGCUGUGGAAGUUUCAGGAAGUAGAUGAUUUAAAAACUUUUCAGGGCGUCAAUAGAUUUUCAGCCUUGGCUUUCGAAGCGCUGAAUCUGGAAUCGUUUUCUGAUGAAAAUGUGUCAGAAAAUGUUUUUUUUCAAUCUUCCCUUUUUCCUGAGGCGAGAAAGUGGAAAGUGUCCAUUUGAACCUGAAGCACAAAAUUAAUCGGCUCAUCUUUAAUUGAUUGAUUGGUUUGGAUCUUAUUUGUUUAUUGAUUGGUUUCUAUUGGGUUUUAUUUGGCCUUCAGGAUGAAGAGCAUCAUCUUCCUCCUCUCCUGCUCCCUGUAACGCUGCGGUCAGGUUCAGGCUUCUGACUGAGCGGGGUGUGAAUACUUUCUGGCUGACUUGCUGCUCUGCCGCACAUAUCAGCUGUCUGUGCAAACCACAAAUUUACAUACGGCAGGCAGGGUGAUGAAAAGAAAAACCGAGUGAACCCCAAGUGGUGACGAAAGGAACUGCAGCUGGAGAUCCACAGAAAGAAUCUAAAAAUCAUGUUUGAUUAUCAAAAUUAUGACUUUGAAUCUCAUAAUUUAGUUUUAAUCUCAUAAUCUGGAUUACCCCAAAUUGCUUCUCUCUCUCUCUCUGCUGCAGUGAGAAACAAUCCUAACAUGAGAACUUCAUCCUGAUUUGUUUUGUUUUUAUGUAUUUAUAUUAACAGUGGAAGCAGAAACUGUUUCUGGUUUGUUGUGAAGUGAAAUGAAAGCAGCAGCAAAAUGUUUCAGAGGAAGAGGUUAGGAAACCGCUCUGCAUCAUCAUCACCACCAUCAUCAUCAUCAUCAUCAUCAUCAUCAUCAUCAUCAUCUCAGAGGAGUUAAACCUUCACUUCACAGAAAGACAAAACCUCAUUUCCUGCUUCUUCCUCAUUUCACGUCGUCUUACAAACCGCAGUAGAUUCUUCAGAAACCUGAGAAGGUUUCAUCUCAACUGGAUCUGGAGAAACGAAACGAAAAGAAGUCAAAUCCAGAAUGUGAUGUUUAGUUUCUGACUUUAGGUUUUUGUGUUUCUGCAGGUCAGUGCCAGACGUCAGAGUUCUUCAGCUCAGACCUGGGGGUUUGUGUUCCCUGCACUUCCUGCAAGCAGUACCCCAAAACCCCGUCCUGCAACACAUGUAAGCCUCUGGAGGAGACGCCACACGUCUGGAAGCUGGCCGCCAUCACCAGCUUCUCGGUCCUCGGCGUGGUUCUGAUCGGCGCCGCUCUGAUCAUCGGAGUCAUGAUGCAUCGACGCAAAUCACACAAACGACCUCUGAGAGAACCCAUCGAAGAGACGGCGGGGCCACUUUACCAAGCUUAAACAGCCGAAUAGCCUCAUCCCACUCUGGAAUCAGAUGUGACCGAACCACGGAGCCUGAGGAACCUCUGGACGACGAGCCGCAUCCCGAACCUCGGGGCUGCGGCUCCGGCUGCAGACGGACCGAUCUUUAUUUAUUGGACUGUUGGUGAGGAGAUGAGCUCAGUUCUGAACGGGUCCGGCAGACAGCAGGCGACCCGCUGAGCCUCUGCUCACCUUGUAGGAAUAGUAACAACGUUAUACGCACUAGUUUGGUAUCCUGUCCAGGAAAUGUCUGUCUUUAUUUUGCAUUAACUGAGACUCCAACCUGGAGGCCCUUGGUGGGUUUCCAGACGUUUGAUUCCGUUAAGACUUCGACUCGUGUUCUGGUGUGAACUCCGGUGACGUGGCAAUGCGAUGCGAUGCGAUGCGAUACGGCCUCUAACUGCACACGUGAAGAAGACAUACUGUUCGGCACAUUAAGGCCAUUUGAAUGUAGCGAGCUUUAGGAGAAACGUCCCCAGUACGCACCGGCUGGACUGUCCUCAUGCACUCUGGGCCAGGCUUGCAAAGGGCUGACAGGCAGUAGCCCAGAGCGCCACGUUUAGGGGGCACCCCCCAAAAAGUUUUUUUUUUUUUACCUCAUAUUAAACGCAGGCGCUCAUUUUGCAUGUGGAGUUUUUUAAAUAUUGUUUUUUUUUUAAUAGUUUGAGCAACACUCAAAUAUUAAGAUGAUGAAGUUGCAUCUUUUUGGACCAACAUGGCGCCCCCUGCCAGAUGUUUUUACCCAACCAACCAGCAGUUUGUACCUGCUAAUUUGUCAGUGUUUGUUAGAGUCCCCCAGUGGCAUUUAAAGGGCCGGUGUUAAAAAUAUCCUGCUGUAUCUUUCCAUCAUGUUACGUUUUCCCACGGAAUGUUGCUUCAAUUCUUUCUUGC